UACGUAGGGGGCUAGCGUUGUCCGGAAUCAUUGGGCGUAAAGAGCGUGUAGGCGGUCCGGUAAGUCCGCUGUGAAAGUCGGGGGCUCAACCCUCGAAUGCCGGUGGAUACUGUCGGGCUAGAGUGCGGAAGAGGCGAGUGGAAUUCCUGGUGUAGCGGUGAAAUGCGCAGAUAUCAGGAGGAACACCAAUGGCGAAGGCAGCUCGCUGGGACGCGACUGACGCUGAGACGCGAAAGCGUGGGGAGCAAACAGG
rnacentral:rRNA from 1 species